rnacentral:lncRNA from 1 species
CUUCUAAUAUAUACAGACUCAUUGCUAGACCCUUGAGAUAUUAAGGUAUGUAAGACAGUAUUUCUACCUAUGUGAAGGAGAGCAUCUAGGAAAGAAGACAAGCAUAUAAAUAUUUUAUGAAAUAAAAUAUUAAUGAUUCAUAAGAAUAAAGGAGAGACAAAAUAGUUAUAUUGGCAAUAGUAGAAGAGGUGUUCUAGGAGAUUCUAUUCAAACUGUGUCUUAAAGUGGUGCCUGCUGUAGACUUCAAAUAUUGCCAAGUCUGUAUGUAACCUUGCUAGUCAAUUCACUCAAUCUCAUAAGAGGAAAACCAACCAAAUUAUAUGGAAGUGAAUGAUACAUUUUCUGGAACUUAAAAAGAGCAUUACAUUUCCCCAGUCGUAAUUACUUUUCCUCUCUCCUCAAAUUGUCCUGCGUAGAUAAGAGUUUUAUCCAGGCAUGAGCAUCCAGGUAGAAACUACAACCGUCAGCCUCCUUUGCCAUGGAAUGCAGGUGGAUGUGUUGUUUGCGGAUUCCACGCUGAUUGCUGAAAGGAUGUUGCCACCCCUCUACUUACCCUCUUCUUGGCCUUCCUAUAGGAUGAAAUCUACAGCAGGGUCCAGCUUUGGCCUGUUUUCUAAAUGGCCUGUGGAACAGUGGCUUCCCCAACCAGGACAUUCAUUUGUACACUAUUGCAGGAGAGACAGAGGGAUUGGAUUACCGUGCAGUCCUUUGCACAGACUACUGCUGUGGCAGAAUGAUCCAGAGACCUAGAAAACCAGGACACGAUUUUGGAAGUCUGCCUCGGGGACAGUGUGCUCCUCCCAGUGAUCCCGUCAGGCGAGUGUUUUCCAGCCACAGCACCUUACCUGCAAUUUCAGAAUGACAGAAGCCCCGAACACUGAAAAUGCUUCAUUAUUCAUUGGAUGACUUCACUGGAACUCCUUUGCAGGCAAAAAUCUGACUUGAAUGGACAUAAAGCAAUGUGUAGACUCUCUUCCAUUUAGUGUGAACAUGAGCAUGAUUCACUAGAGAAAGUAGAUGUUUUUAAAUUUUUUUUUUAACGUUUAUUUAUUUUUGGGACAGAGAGAGACAGAGCAUGAACGGGGGAGGGGCAGAGAGAGAGGGAGACACAGAAUCGGAAACAGGCUCCAGGCUCUGAGCCAUCAGCCCAGAGCCCGAGUAGAUGUUUUUAUAAUGGAGAGCUGUCUCAAAUCCCCUGAAGAUGUUAAUAUGCAUUAUUAGGUUGUUAGAUAAUACAUAAUGUUUGUACUGCAUUCCCUUUUAUUAUUUGAAACUUCUAAAUUGUAUCUUUUUAGGGUGACACAAAUGUUUUAUAAAUGGGGUGCCUGGGUGGCUCAGUUCAGGGACCGACUCUUGAUUUCGGCUCAGGUCAUGAUCUCACAGUUCAUGGGACUGAGUCUGCAUCAGGCUGCCAGCAUAGGGCCUGCUUGGGACUCUCUCUCUCUCUCUCUCUCUCUCUCUCUCUCUCUCCCUCUCUCUCUCUCUCUGCCCCCCCCCCACUCUCUCUUUCUCUAAAUAAAUAAACUUAAAAGCAUGUUUUAUAACUGGAC